GGUGACUAAAAAUAAUGGAACUUUAGAGUGGGUCAAAAAGAAACUAUGCUUUGAGGAGCACAUCUUACAACAUAAUAUACCCAUAGAAGUAGGACACACCUAACCCAACAUCGGUGAACUAUAGAACAACUAGAAAGCAUGAGUCAAGAGUUCAACUAACAACCAAACAAAGAGCAAUGAACUUUAAGACAAAUGUUUCAUUAGGUGAAAAUAUGAACGAGUAAUAAUACUGGCUGAGCAGGUAACAACAAUCAAUAGAAGAUUACCUCCAUGGUUUAAUUAAGAGGUAUCGAUAACGUUUUCAAAAACAUACAAUUUUCACUAAAACAAUGUGAUCUUAAUAGAAUUAGUAGAAUAAAUAUCUACUGCUUCAUGUAUAAGCCUACAGCAAAACUUUUAGCAGUCACGCAUCAAAAAUUCCAGAUUAUAGUAAAAAUUUGAGGCUGUUAUGCAGGAAAUUUACGGGGCAAGGGAAACCAUGUGUCCAACAGAAGCUUAAGUUAAAGCUUGAAACCAUAAUGACCAACUUAUAAAAAUAAAAUUUUAAAUUCAGUGCACCAAAGUGAACCAAAACAUAACCUAGUGAUUCAAAAAAACAAUGUCAAGUACAAGAAGCAGCAACAAACUUCAUGACCUGACAUAAAAACUACCCCAAACACACCCAAAUAACAAUAAUAAGCAUAAAGUAAAUGACAUAAGAUUUAAAUAUCUAACCUUAAACUUGGAUCACUUACGCACGGUGUGAAGAACCAACCCUGACUGCAACUGUAACCAGAGUAUAUUAACUUAUUUGUUAUAGGACCUUGUGCAAGAUAAGGCUUUUCAUUACGUAAAUGGUGGAAACCAUAUGCCACUUGAGCAUCCAUUCCUAUGCUAAAGUAAUUAUAAAAGACUCCUUCAUAGCAAUUCAUAUUCUCAGGCAACAUCCCCUCAACUUCCAAACUCUGAUCAAGAGAAUAUUCUUCCGUAUGUUUUAGAGAAUGGGGUGGAUCCACAACUUCUCCACUUGGCAUCAUCACUAAAAGAUGCCAACUACAUCAAAGGGUAAUGUGUUGUAAGUGCAACUUACAAAGAAAUGAUGAAAUCAAGCUACACCUAUCAUAAAAAAACAAGGGUCUUUUCAUGAAUAAAAUAUAACUAAUUAGGCAGACAGAAUUAUGCAAAUUAAGUGGCGAAAGAUAUAGCGGAAUAAGGUGAUCCAUAAACAUUACUAGACAUUCCUCAGCCACUACAUGCAUGCACAUAAAACUGAAGAGCUCAU
rnacentral:misc_RNA from 1 species